rnacentral:rRNA from 1 species
AUGGGCGCCAGGGUGUCCAAGGCCACCUCCUGCUGCUGCCUCCGCGGGCAGCUCCACGGCAGCACCCGCCUCGACGACCCCGGCUCCGAGGAGGACGAGCAGGGGGAGGCGUACGAGCUGCCGGCGUUCCAGGAGUACACCUUCGAGCAGCUGCGCCUGGCCACGGCCGGCUUCGCCGUGGAGAACAUCGUGUCCGAGCAUGGCGAGAAGGCGCCCAACGUCGUCUACAAGGGGAAGCUCGACGCCCAGCGCCGCAUCGCCGUCAAGCGCUUCAACCGCUCCGCCUGGCCCGACCCGCGCCAGUUCCUGGAAGAAGCUAAAUCAGUUGGUCAGCUCCGGAGCAAAAGGUUAGCAAAUCUGCUUGGCUGUUGCUGCGAAGGUGACGAGAGAUUGCUUGUUGCAGAGUACAUGCCUAACGACACACUAGCAAAACAUCUUUUCCACUGGGAAACCCAAGCGAUGAAAUGGCCCAUGAGAUUAAGGGUUGUUCUCUAUCUUGCUGAGGCUUUAGAAUAUUGCACCAGUAAGGGGCGUGCUCUCUACCAUGAUCUUAAUGCCUACAGAGUUCUGUUUGAUGAUGAUUGUAACCCUAGACUUUCAUGCUUUGGCCUUAUGAAGAACAGCCGGGAUGGCAAAAGUUACAGUACCAAUCUGGCAUUUACUCCUCCCGAAUACAUGAGAACUGGACGUAUAACACCUGAAAGUGUCAUAUAUAGCUUUGGCACCUUGCUACUGGACGUUCUUAGUGGGAAGCAUAUUCCUCCGAGCCAUGCCCUUGACCUGAUUCGAGAUCGGAACUUUAGCAUGCUUACAGACUCGUGUUUAGAGGGCCAAUUUUCAAAUGAGGAAGGAACAGAACUGGUACGAUUAGCUUCAAGAUGCCUGCACUAUGAACCCCGAGAACGGCCGAAUGUAAGAUCUAUGGUUCAAGCAUUGGCUCCUCUUCAGAAAGAUGUUGAGACUCCAUCUUACGAACUGAUGGAUAUGCCCCAAGCCGGUGCAUCAUCUGUCCAAUCAUUGCCUCUUUCUCCUCUUGCUGACGCUUGUUCCAGAAAGGAUCUGACAGCAAUACAUGAAAUUCUAGAAAAGACAGGGUACAAGGAUGAUGAGGGAACAGCAAAUGAGCUCUCAUUUCAGAUGUGGACCAAUCAAAUGCAAGAUACAUUAACCUCAAAGAAGAAGGGUGACAGUGCAUUUCGGCAAAAGGAUUUUACUACUGCUAUUGACUGUUACUCCCAGUUCAUUGAAGUCGGUACGAUGGUGUCCCCCACCAUUUAUGCUCGGCGUUGCCUAUCAUAUCUGAUGAAUGACAUGGCAGAACAGGCUCUCAGUGAUGCAAUGCAAGCGCUAGUAAUAUCUCCGACAUGGCCGACUGCAUUUUACCUUCAAGCUGCAGCGUUGCUUUCUUUAGACAUGGAGAAUGAAGCUCAAGAUGCUCUCAAGGAUGGUUGUGCCCAAGAGACAAGUAGCAGCAGCGGACGCUGA